GGAGGGGUGCGAGAGCUCGGCGGCGGUCUCGAAAGCCGCUAUGGCCGCAAGGCCAUCGGGGGUUCAAAUCCCUCCCCCUCCGCCA
rnacentral:tRNA from 1 species